AAAACCAUGAAGGCAAGUUACUAGGACUACCCUGGAACCGAGAAAAGGACAUACUCAGUGUUGAAAUGAGCGCAGCAGACUGUUCAUCAAAGAGAUCAGUACUAUCGGAACUUGCUAAAAUUUACGACCCCUUGGGUUUAGUCUCCCCAUCCACACUAGUCGCCAAGUUGCUUUAUCGGGAAAUCUGUGACGCAAAGAUAUCCUGGGAUGAAACUUUACCUGAAAGCAAUCUGAAAGUGUGGAAGAAAUGCAAAGAGUUGCUACAAGGAAGUUUCGUCGUACCUCGUUCCCUCGCGCCACAUCAUCUCCAGAUCUCAGAGAUAUGGCUUCACGCGUUUGGAGAUGCAAGCUCAAAAGGAGUGUGUGCUGUAGUUUAUGCGGUGGUCCACCAACAGGAAGAAGUAACUCAAGGUCUUGUGUGUGCUAAAUCCCGCAUAGCAAAACGGAACUUGACUAUACCCCGCUUAGAACUGAUAGCAGGUCAUAUGGCGGUCAAUCUUGUUAUCAACGUAAACGCAGCCCUAACCAUCCCCCUUAUCCACAUUCACUGUUGGCUAGACUCAACCGUGGCGCUAUAUUGGAUAAAAGGGAAAGGUGACUACCGACAAUUCUUGACGAAUCGGGUGCAGAAGAUACGACAGCAUGGCGAAGUGAAUGGCAUCAUGUGCCUACGAGAGAGAAUCCCGCUGAUCUAGGAAGUAGGGGAGGCAACGUUAAGGACAACCAAUUGUGGAAAGAAGGCCCAGCUUGG